rnacentral:misc_RNA from 1 species
GGACCGUGACGGCACCCAAGAAAGGUAAAACAACUGAAUCCAGUACGUCCGUCUGUCUCACUCUCUCUCCCUCGCAUUCCACAGUAAAGGUAAGCGGCGACGGAAGCAAAGACCGUGCUGUUCAGUCUCUUUGCCGCCUUCAUUGACGCUUUCUCCGUUUUCCUUCUUAGGCUUAGUUUUUGGAAUUGAUGGCGUCCAAGUUGCAGCAGUUGCAGUCCAAGGCAUGUGAAGCUUCUAAGUUUGUGUCUAAGCAUGGAACUGCCUACUACAAGCAGUUGUUGGAGCAGAAUAAGCAAUAUAUUCAGGAACCUCCCACUGUUGAGAAGUGCAACUUGUUGUCAAAGCAGUUGUUCUACACUCGACUUGCUAGGUUUUUACUUCUUGUACCCUUGAUCUUUCGUCUUGCUUGGUUUUUACUUCUUGUACCCUUGUUAUCAUGGAAUUCAAUGUUGCUGAUGAAUGGUUUUCUCCUCUUACUCCUGCUUAAAAAAAUUUAACUGUGAUAUGAAUGGAGAGUUAUUUGCAUUGGAGGACUUUAUGUAUGGAUUUUAUGUUUUUCUCCACCUUAAAGUGAAGAUUUGCAUUAUCGUUGGCUGGAUGUGCUAGCCCAGUAUGACACUUCUUGCUGAAGAAUAGAUGUAUCAUUUUUUUGUUAGAUUAAUAUAUGCAACUAUUGUUAUGUAAAUUUGGAAAUGUUUUCUAUGUCUUUAGCCAGAAGCUCAUUGAUAAACAAAGAGCGAAGCAUAUGGUUUGUGAUUUAAGCUGUUUGGUGAAAAUGAAAUUCCUGAGCACAUGGAAUUCUUUUCGGUUAUGGAUUUAUGGUUGGGUUUGAUCAGGUUUCAUUGGCCAUUCAUAGUAUUUCUGUAUUUGAGUUGUAGAAAACUAGUUAUUGAAAAGUUUGGUUGAAAGAUAUUACUGCAUAAAGAGAAAGUGCCUUCUCUGCUAAGUGUCAUUCUGCUAUCUUUUUGGAUGAAGAGUGUGCAUUGACUUUUUCAUUGCAAGCUUCAUCGCCUUAACAUCAUCCAGAUUCUUUAUGAGCAGAUUUUCAAUCAAUCCAAUAAGUUGUUUUACAUCUAGUGUUUCUUAUGAGGGUAUUUUUAGAAAAUAUUUGGCAGUACAAAAUGGUUCUCUGUUUUUUAAAUUUUAUAAAUUAAGUAGGGUUAUGGUAUUUUUCAAAAUGGAUGUAUAAAUUUAUCUAUAACAUUAUUUCUUUUUAGUUUCCAUCAUCAUUAAUUUGCCAUCUUCGUCGAGGGUGGGCCUCUUAUCGGUGCUAUAGUUACAUCUGCAAACAACUGAAAAUGUCCCUAUAGAUAUGAACCCACCCAUGUUGGCACCUCAAUCACAAUCAUAUAUUGCAUUGACAUUCUCAUACUUGACAUUGUUACAAGUGUUGAAGCCAAAGAAAGAUAUUGUAUAUUUUUUUGGGUUGGAAUAGUUACAAACCAAAUGGAAACUCUUAUCUUCUUUUCUAGUAUCAGACUCUCACAAUCUCAGUAGGACUUGAAUAGUGUCUAAGACUUAGAAGUCCUAGUUUAAUUUUGUAGUGCAAUUGUAUUUAUAAUUGAUAAUUUGGUUAUUAUUUUUCAUCACAUGUUAAAUCAAGUUUUCCAUGGAUUGCAUUUUCAUAAUUUUUGAAGUUCAGCGUUAUAUAAGUGUCCCUUAGUGUGUGUUGGACUAGGUUAGCAUCUCAUUGUUUAAGUGGCUUCUGAUCUAGUGGAGUUCCAUUUUACUGUUGUUCAGAAAAGGAGAAAGAAGUUCAGUUUUGAUGGCAUUUCAUACUUGGCUCUAAGACCUUAUAGCCACAGUGAUUCAUAUUGGAUGAUGCUGAUGUCUUGGAGAAGGCUGGAUUUUGAUUUAUAUGGGAAAAGAAAAAUAGUGAAUAGAGUCAAACUCUGCUGCCUUGGUAAUCAACUUUUGAAAAUUUGUGUUAGGAUCAAAUAGAAUGAUUGUUUCUUGCAUUUUUUGAGAAUUAUCCAAGGAGAUUAAUAUUAUUUUUUUUUCCAACCUUAGAGCAUUUCUGUUGAUAUUGAUGUGUUUUUACCAACUGUACCCUUUUCAAGUUGCAUUUCCAUUGCUAAUUGAGUUUAAGUUUUGCCUUGUAUAAAGACUCAUCAGUUGCCUUUUAUUGAAAUGAUUGGUGAUUAAGCCUGAGCGCUGAGUGUCUCUCGCAUUUAUUUAUUUACUAAUGUGCUAGUGGAAAAUAUCAAAGUGGACGACUUAAAAUUUUUAUGUUAAUUUGUUUCUUGACAUUUCUUUUAUUUUUCUUUGGUACAGUAUUCCCAAUCGUUGUGAAUCAUUUUGGAAGGAACUUGACUAUGUGAAGAAUUUAUGGAAGAAUAGACAGGAGCUGAAAGUCGAAGAUGCUGGCAUUGCUGCUUUGUUUGGGCUGGAGUGCUUUGCUUGGUUUUGUGCUGGUGAGAUUGUGGGAAGGGGAUUUACUUUCACUGGUUACUAUCCUUGAGAAGAAGAGCUUCAUAUAAUUUGUUUCACGGGAUUGAAUAUGUGAGCUUCUGUUGUCCUUUGAGCGAUUGAAUCGCAAGCACUUUACUUGCAAAUUUUUGUUUUUCUGCAAAAUUUUUGAAGCUGAGAAAUCAGUGGUUUACUGUGAUUGCCUCAAUAAUUUUACAUUUGAAGCUGCUUAGGAUGUUACUGACGAUCGAUUAACUUUGUUAAAGUUCAUCGUUACUCAUGAAUGAUAAUAAUGCUACAAGUUUUUCUAUGGCUUGCCUUCUACUUGAUCAUGCUCAAUGUUUAAACAUUUACAUGAUGGUCCUGUCAAAAAAAAGGCCGAGUAAUAGGAACAGUGGAUUGUAACCAUUCAAUCAUGUUAUUGCAGUCGCAGUGCUACUGUUGGCUGCAUUGAUGUUGCAUUUUUACUGUAGUCAAACUUCCACUUUCGCCAAGUGUAACCUCCAUUCUAUAAUGGAAAUGGCUUUAAUGCAUUAUUUCCUUUACUGUCAAUCAUGGCGAUGAAUUAUUAUACUGAGUGAGAUGAAUUAUCUAUUAAUGAGGUGAACUAGCUUAAUUGGGAAUGCCUAUUUGGUAUUGAAUCCCCUCAAGCAGGGUUCUAACUUAUGAGGUGGAGAAAUGCUAAUUUGCUAUGUAUUUUGUGUAGACUAGCUGAGCAUAUGUAAUUAUGUAUGAUGUGUUUGUGAAUCAAGUUGCUUCUGUUGUUUUUUCUUUAUUUUUUUCAGUGUUGAAAUUUAUCUGAUGCUGACAUCUUUAAUAAACAAUCAACCUGACAGUUAGUCUUUCAUCGGCUUUGCUACUGGUACUAAAACAUCCAUAAAGUGAAUGCAGUUUUAGCCAAUUCUCCCUGCAUAAUUUAGCUUGGUACUGAAUUGCAACUUUAGAAGUAAGCUCGCUGGUUGUCAAGGACUGGUAGAUGCUCAAAUCUUAUUCGGUGCGUGGAUCUGCUGAGAUUGUGUUCUCAUGGCAUGAUAAUGAGCCAUGGCGCUGAAAUUAGAAUGAAUUUGACAACAUCUAGGAAUUCCAUUUAUGAUAACCGUGGAUCUCAAAAAUUUCCCUGGAUUAUAUAGGACUGCCGAUGCCUAUGUUGGCUUUUGAGCUUCAAUUGACUGAGCUAAUAUAAAUCGAUUAAUCCUAAUGCGUCGUUCUCUGAGAUAAUAUAAAUGGCCUUUUGAGCUUCAACUCUCUGGGCCAUUAGUCCAAUGAUUUCGGGUUUUUCUCUGAGCGCGCCCAAUAACUGCUCAAGGUCCAGGUCCGCAGGGCGAUUUGGCAUUGGCUGCACUGUACACCCGCUUGUGCUGACAAGGCAUUUGCUGAUUCGACGAAACAGCGUCAUCCCAUUGCUGAUCAACGAAUUUCGUUCGAGUAAGAAACCUACAAGCGGACAAGAAGAAGCAACUUUCAGGAGCCAAAAUCGAUACAGCAGAGGAAAAGAAUGCUGCUCGAUUCGUUUGUUCCUGUUAGAACUCGCGCCGCGGCAGUAGUAACAUUCGCCAUCGUUUUCAUCUUUCUCUCCGUCUUCGCCGACUCCGCUAAAAACGAUUCUCAGGUGAAAUGCAGUAGAACUUGCGUUGCAGAGAACUGUAAUUCGGUCGGGAUUAGAUACGGAAAGUACUGUGGAGUAGGGUGGACUGGCUGUCCUGGGGAGAAACCAUGCGACGACCUGGACGCCUGUUGCAAGAUUCAUGACGAGUGCGUUGAAAAGAAAGGUUUAAUGAGUAUUAAGUGCCAUGAAAAGUUCAAGAGCUGCAUAAAGAAAGUGAAGAAAUCUGGAAAGGUUGGUUUUUCUCGGGAUUGCCCUUAUGAGACAGCUGUACCUACUAUGGUACAGGGUAUGGAUAUGGCAAUUUUGCUGAGCCAGUUAGGUAGUCCAAAGACUGAACUCUGAUUUCUCUGUGAAGUGCAUUUACCUGUGCUAUUUUACUCAUUUUUUCACUAAGCAAAAUGACUUCUUUCAAGAAUUAUGGACAUUGGUUUUCUUUCUCCAUGAUUUUUUGUUAGCCUACCAGUUCUGAAUACAGAAAUUAUACUCUAAUUUUUUUCAAUGGAUUCUCAUUUCCAAAAUCAUAAAUUUAAAUUUUUAUUGCCUAAA